ACACUGUGACAUGGGGACACUGUGACAUGGGGACACUGUGACAUGGGGACACCAUGGGAUGGGGACACUGGGGGAUGGGGACACCGUGGGAUGGGGACACUGUGACAUGGGGACACUGGGGGAUGGGGACACUGGGGGAUGGGGACACUGUGACAUGGGGACACUGUGACAUGGGGACACCGUGGGAUGGGGACACUGUGACAUGGGGACACCAGGGGAUGGGGACGCUGUGACAUGGGGACACUGUGACAUGGGGACACCACGGGAUGGGGACACUGUGACACAGGGACACCGCAGGAUGGGGACACUGACAUGGGGACGCUGUGACAUGGGGACACUGGGGGAUGGGGACACUAUGACAUGGGGACACUGUGACAUGGGGACACCGCGGGAUGGGGACGCUGUGACAUGGGGACACCAGGGGAUGGGGACGCUGUGACAUGGGGACACUGUGACAUGGGGACACCAGGGGAUGGGGACAGUGUGACAUGGGGACAGUGUGACAUGGGGACAUGGGGACACUAUGACAUGGGGACACCAGGGGUUGGGGACACUAUGACAUGGGGACACUGUGACAUGGGGACACUGCAGCCACUGUCACCGUCACAGCACGGGGCGCCCUGUCCCCAAUGUGUCCCCAAGGCUCCCUGUCACCUGGGGGUCCUUCGUCACCCAGGUGUCCCCUGUCACCCAGGUGUCCCCUGUCACCCAAAUGUCCCCAUCACCCAGGUGUCCUUUGCCACCCGGGUGUCCAUUGUCACCCAGGUGUCCCCUGUCACCCAAAUGUCCUUUGUCACCCGGCUGUCCCCUGUCACCCAAGUCUCCUUUGUCACCUCGAUGUCCCCAUCACCCAAGGCGUCCUUUGUCACCCAGAUGUCCCCAUCACUUGGGUGCCCUUUGUCACCCGGGUGUCCCCAUCACCCAGAUGUUCCCUGCCACCCAAAUGUCCCCAUCAGGUGUCAUCACCUGUGUGUCCCGUCACCCAGAUGUCCCCAGUCACAUGGGUGUCCUUUGGCACCCAGGUGUCCCCUGCCACCCAAGUCUCUUUUGUCACCUGGAUGUCCUUUGUCACCCAGGUGUCCCCAUCACUCAGGUGUCCUUUGUCCCUUAGGUGUCCCCCAUCACCCAGACGAGCCCUUGUCACCCAGAUGUCCCCAUCACUCAGGUGUCCUUUGUCACCCAGGUGUCCCCUGCCACCCAGAUGUCCCCAUCACUCAGGUGUCCUUUGUCACCCAAGUGUCCUUUGUCACCAGGAUCUCCACGUCACCCAAGUGUCCUUUGUCACCAGGAUCUCCACGUCACCCAAGUGUCCUUUGUCACCCAGGUGUCCCCUGUCACCCAGGUGACGUCCUCGGUCACCCAGAUGCCCUUUGCCACUUGGGUGUCCUU
rnacentral:lncRNA from 1 species